GGCCCUGUAGCUUAGCUGAAUAGAGCAUUAGAUUCCGGUUCUGAAGGUCGUGGGUUUGAAUCCCACCGGGGUCA
rnacentral:tRNA from 1 species